rnacentral:ncRNA from 1 species
CGCUGGUCAUCACAUCGACAAAAUUCACCUGCUGUUCGCAGAUAAUGCGCGUAAUGCGGUCGCGAUCCUCAUGCGUCAGCAUGUUGAUAUAGUUGUGCGCCAGUUCGUUACUGAGGAUAUUGGUGCCGUCGCUGAUGCGCAGGAUACAGAUGCCCACCGGCGCCGACGCGACAAUCUUGCGGUUAAACUGCUCAUGCUCCUCCAGCCGGAAGGCAUUCUCCUCCGCCGGCAGGAACAUUUUGCGUUCAAACAGCCAGGCCAGGGUGAACAGCACGAUGGCCGACAGCAGGUUCAGCAGCACCGCGUUGAGAAUCAGCAUCUUAAAGCGUUCAACCACGCUCUUGACCGGCAGCGAAUAGACGAUGCUGAGUGACGACGGCGGCAGCGCUUUUUUCAUGAUCAAAUCAUGAUAGCUGUCCACGUAGCCAAAAUAGGCGUGCUCUUCGGGGUAGCUGCUCAGCGCCGAUGCGUAGCGCUCGCCGUCGG